UAGUGAUUAGAGUUUGAUCCUGGCUCAGAUUGAACGCUGGCGGCAUGCUUUACACAUGCAAGUCGAACGGGGUGGAGGGGUAACCCUCCAUUCAGUGGCGAACGGGUGAGUAAUACAUCGGAACGUACCUCGUAGUGGGGGAUAACUCGGCGAAAGCCGUGCUAAUACCGCAUAUGCUCUACGGAGGAAAGCAGGGGACCGCAAGGCCUUGUGCUAUGGGAGCGGCCGAUGUCCGAUUAGCUAGUUGGUGGGGUAAUGGCCCACCAAGGCGACGAUCGGUAGCUGGUCUGAGAGGAUGAUCAGCCACACUGGGACUGAGACACGGCCCAGACUCCUACGGGAGGCAGCAGUGGGGAAUUUUGGACAAUGGGGGCAACCCUGAUCCAGCCAUGCCGCGUGCGGGAAGAAGGCCUUCGGGUUGUAAACCGCUUUUGGUCGGGAAGAAAAGGCGUGGGCUAAUACCUCACGUUCUUGACGGUACCGGCAGAAUAAGCACCGGCUAACUACGUGCCAGCAGCCGCGGUAAUACGUAGGGUGCGAGCGUUAAUCGGAAUUACUGGGCGUAAAGCGUGCGCAGGCGGUUCGUUGUGUCCGAUGUGAAAGCCCCGAGCUUAACUUGGGAAUGGCAUUGGAAACUGGCGAGCUGGAGUGUGGCAGAGGGGGGUGGAAUUC
rnacentral:rRNA from 1 species